AAAGAAUCUAUCACCUCACAAGUAUAAAUUCUCAUAAUGCAGGUCUUGCUACCUUAACACGGUAGAAGAAUAUGAUGAAUAGAGAUACAUCAGAUUGACUAACAUAAUAAAGUGGUUAAGCCUUGCAGUAAACCAUAUCCAGCUUAGAGGAAUGCUGAUUUUCUGGGCUGAAUGCUACAGAAGUGUCAAAUUACUGUUUCACCAUGAAGGAACUUUUACAACUGCACCCACCCACUGCACUUGGAUUGGUAGAAACCUGAAAAGCAGAGCGGAUCAGCUCCUCAACAUAAUCAACAGUUGCACCUUUGACAAAAUCGAAUGAUACAUUAUCCACAACCAAUUUAACUCCGUCAUGCUCAAAAAUUCUGUCAUCCGAAUUGGUCUUAUCAUCUAGAGAGAAUUCAUAUUGAAACCCAGAACAACCACCGGCUUCAACACUCAACCGGAGCAUCUUCUCUUUAUGUUCGCCAGCUUGCAACUCUUUAAUCCUACGAACGCAGUUCUCAGUCAUUACAACGGAAUCUGUAGCUUCGACUUGAGAUUGAGAUUGAGAUUGGGGCUGUGAUAGAGCAGAAGCUGAAGAAUUCAAAAGUCGGUAAUUUUGACGAAUUCGGGCGGUGAAGAAGGG
rnacentral:misc_RNA from 1 species